rnacentral:rRNA from 1 species
GCGAGACUUGGUGUGAAUUGCAGGACACAUUGAGCACUUACUUUUCGAACGCACAUUGCGGCCUCGGGUCCUACCCGGGGCCACGUCUGUCUGAGGGUCGGAUUAUGCUUGCAGAAGGAAGUUUCUUCCUGAUUGGUUGUGCCGGCUGCGUCCGCCGACCUAAAUUGUGUGAGUUUUCUGACCCCGGCCGAGAGGCAUGCCACGAGAGGAUGUCCGAGAGCGGGAGCGGCAAAGUGCCUGCCUGCAAGCUUGGACCAGUGGUGGAAACCUGUGCUGGGGAAUUCAGAUGUGGAGUCUAUCUCCUACUUAACUUUGUCGACCUCAGAUCAGGCGAGACGACCCGCUGAAUUUAAGCAUAUAACUAAGCGGAGGAAAAGAAACCAACCAGGAUUCCCUCAGUAACGG